CGGUUUGCCCGCAGCAGCCCAACUCCCCGCUAAGCUCCCAGAACUAAGGUCCGCGGGGACCUUCAAUGGCCUUCCCGGUGGCUCCUCCUCCUCCAGAGGUGUCACCCUUCUGGGAAACGGUACUCCUCCCUCUCACCCCCGCCCAGCACUGCUGGGGGUGGGCGGGAACCGGUGCCAGCCGGUGAUUCCAGGUCGAGCCUCCCGCCCUCACCAAGCUUGACCCAGCCCAAACCCCUAACAGCCACGCGCUGGGAGCCUCCCCACCGCGGGGUACCGGGCCCUCUCCACCACCGCGCGCCAGAAUGCACCUCUGUAAAAGACAACAAAAUAAGAACCAGCCAAGGAAAGCAAAAGGCGGAACUACCUCUGCAAGUCCAAGAAAGCUGGUACUGACAAUGUUGUGGCUGAACCGGACACCCCACAAUAGUCUCCAGCCUCGAGGAAGCAGCUCUACCUCUCUCUAUCUUGGACAAAAUGAAUUUUAAGAGAUCACCUUGAGUGUUUAGAUCCUGUUUCCCAAGCAAACAUUUUCAGGAGUCUUUGAGGACAAUCUUCAGCAAAAUGAGAGAACAGACCAAGAAAAAGAAAAGCAUGAACUCAAGUGUAUCCAAACCAGGAGCACAGCUGAAGGAAGUCCCAGAAGGGCAGCUACCCAGCAGGCUCACAGAGCGACUGGCACAGAUGGGAGCAAGAAGGGCCCUCUUUUUCCGUAUCAUGUGAUUUUUUAAAAGCAUAUGCUUGUAUUAUCUGAAAUACUUCAGAUAAAAAAAAAACCCAGCAUACUUCAUGUUACAAACUUUCUUCUAAGCAUACACAAUCCUCCCUCUGCGUGUCUAUUUUUAAAACAUGGUGCCUUUAAGAAUUACUUAGUGGUAACAUCAGUCAAUACAAAAGCAUAUGAAAGUCUCCGGCUGCCUCCUACACGCCCAGGAGUCAAUCACUACUAGAGUUAUGCAUCUUCUCCAACUCUGGCAUGCAUAGUCUUUAUUAAAAUGUUUUACCAAAAACAAAAAAAAAUCAUACUAUAUGUGUUCUUCCACAACUUGCUUUUUCACAGGGCGCUGUGUCACAGGUGUACCCCCUUGUCAAUGAGCACAUACUCAGCUUAUUCUUUUUUAUGACUGUACAGGUUUCUGCAGACGGACAGACCACAAUUUAUUUAACCUGCACCUUAUUAAUAGAUAUUUAGAUUGCCUCCAAUUUUUGACUAAUGCAACAAAUGCUUCCAGAAACAGUCAGACACAUGCUUCUUUGUACAAGUAUUUUUUUAAGAUAAAUUUCAAGAUGUGAAAUUGCUGGUUCAAAGGACACAUGUGUUUUACAUUUUAAUAGAUUAGAAAGUGAAAACCCCUUCCCCCAAAAUGGGCUGUACUAUUUUACACUCACACUAAAAAUAUAUGAGUAGUCAUUUCCCUACAUUUUUACCAAUCACUGACAUUAUUAACCUUUUAAGGUUUUGUUUCACAAAACCAGCAAACAUGAC